UACAGAGGUCCCGAGCGUUGUUCGGAUUCACUGGGCGUAAAGGGUGCGUAGGCGGUUCAGUAAGUUUGAUGUGAAAGGCCUGGGCUUAACCUAGGAAUGGCAUUGAAGACUGUUGGACUGGAGACCGAGAGGGGACAAUGGAAUUGCGAGUGUAGAGGUGAAAUUCGUAGAGAUUCGCAAGAACACCAGUGGCGAAGGCGAUUGUCUGGUUCGGUACUGACGCUAAGGCGCGAAAGCGUGGGGAGCAAACAGG
rnacentral:rRNA from 1 species